AACGAACGCUGGCGGCGCGCCUAAUACAUGCAAGUCGAGCGAGAAGACGUAGCAAUACGUUUGUAAAGCGGCGAACGGGUGAGGAAUACAUGGGUAACCUACCCUCGAGUGGGAAUAACUAGCCGAAAGGUUAGCUAAUACCGCGUACGCUCCUUGGACUUCGGUUCAGGGAGGAAAGCGAUACCGUGGGUAUCGCGCUCUUGGAUGGGCUCAUGUCCUAUCAGCUUGUUGGUGAGGAACGGCUCACCAAGGCUUCGACGGGUAGCUGGUCUGAGAGGACGAUCAGCCACACUGGCACUGCGACACGGGCCAGACUCCUACGGGAGCAGCAGUAAGGAAUAUUGCGCAAUGGGCGAAAGCCUGACGGAG
rnacentral:rRNA from 1 species